CACGACGGAGCCCCCUUGGGUGCUGCGGAUGUAGGUCA
rnacentral:antisense_RNA from 1 species